UCCCGUCCAGCCGGACAGCGUGUGACGUCCUCUCCGUGAUCCUGUAUGGCUCGGUCCACCUCGGUUCCGUCCACUUCCUUUUGGUGACUUUUAGCAGGACCCAGACGCCUGGCACCGAAGACGAAGCCUCUUCGUGUGUGUAGUUUUGGUCCAAUGAAGGCUUUCUCGGCUUGUGCAGUCCUUGAUCUCGGCAGAUAGUUGGUAGGAAGAUUCACACUCCGGCCGGACCAGAAGUUCCCCGGACCGAUCGCCUAGGGAUUAGAGGUUAUGCACAAAAAUGUCCUAGCUCUUACUGACCCUAGCCUCUGAUACCUUCAACAUCAGACACAUACAGUUACGAACAGCAAGCGCAAUUAAAGGUACAGUGACAUCACGACAUGGACACACAGACACACAAACACAUACACAUGCACAUACACAGAGAGAGAGGGAGAGAGUAAGAAUGUGUGUGGGAGAAAGAAAUGUGUGGGAUCCAUUUUGCCACCAGCAUCUCCACCUGUGUCACAGAGAAAAAAUUGCAAAGAAAUUAAAACAUAAAGCAAACAACAAUAAUUCAAUGAGUAUAAAUGAUCAAACUAAAAUAUACAACCAUGCAUGGGUUUUAUAACAGUUCCAGCAACACUGGAGAUGAUGCCUUGUACAAUGAAUUCUUAAGAUGUCCUUCAUCAAUUAGAGGUUAUAACCAAAUUGUUUCAGGAUCCUGAAUUUGAAUUUGAAUUGGUUAAUUUACUCAGAAUAGUCCAAUGUCUUUGUUGAUGUUUCUCAAGGCUCGGCCAUGCCCAUAUAGAUAAAUAAGCAAACAAACAAGACAAACACAGUCAAACACACGGUCCAUACACGUCUCUGUGCCCUCACACACCAAGCAAAUGUCAGACUGAAGCGAAAGUGUGAAAACACUUAACCUAACGCUAAAUCAGUGGAAAGAAAAAAUAAGACCUAAAGCGUGUAAUCAAAUUAAUCCAACAAAACUUCCCAUAACUGCCGUUCUAAACUCACGUUGCGAUGUGAUCUCUCCAAUUAGAAAUUAGGACAAUCACUUUACUAUCAAUUCAACCAAAAAGUUUCAGGUUGUCCCUUACCUAAACUACCUGUCUUUCUUACCUUCUUUCUUUCUUUCUUUCUUUCUUUUUUAGGAACACUACUCGCACAAGAAAUCCUAAGAAUUAAUUCACUACUUAAGGUUAAUUCAUAAAUAACGAAACUGCAGUUACAGGUUUGUUUGUGCAUAGUAUUGGUAAUCAGCAGUUUUUUUCCUUAUCUCCUCAUCUAGAAGUGUUUCUGUGCUACUCCUCCAUCUAUAACACAAGUUAGUAUCAUCCUUAAAGCAUCUGAAAUUAAGCUGCAUUGCUAAAUCAAUAACGUGAUUUGUGCUAAGAAAUACUCCCCUAUCCUCUUCCUUUUUCCAGUGGCGCUGAAUGACAGAUUUUAGAUCAAUUUAUCGUUUUAUCACUAUUACGUUUCAUUUAAUUAAUUUUGCUUUUUCUCUCUUAUUUUUGUCUAUUUAUUUAUUUAUGUUAUUUACUUAUUUAUCAUGCCAUCCUGUGAUGAUAAUCUUAAAGACUUUUUAGCCAAUUGUCGUCAAAAAGGCCAUUUAAAAAUAUUAUGUUAAAGAUUUCACAAGAUAAAAAUGUGAACAUAAUUUUUAUCGAAUGAGGGGUACAAUUAUUCAAUAUUUUUGUGACAUUAUUUUCUACGUUAGAACUUACAGCUGAUAGAAAAAUAUAGGAUCAGCUAGGUUUGGCUAGAUCUGUUGGGAAACUCAACGGAGCUGAAACAACACUGUUGUCUCGGAUGAGAUGUUCCAUGAAUCAUUUAGUCAGCUGGAUGCCAAAUUAUUCAUUUAAUGUUUAUUUUUAUGCAAUGAAUGGAAUGGGAUGGAACGUUACUAUAAACUAUCCGGAAAUUUGCGCAUGUUUGCUCGAAGGAGAGAACUGUUGAAGCCUAAAGCGUUCUCCUAGACUUAUAAAUAGACACCGUUUCCUUAACUAAUGAAGAUAAGUGAUGACGCUGAUGUAUUCCGUUUUGAAAAGAAAAUAAGGCUUUACUGCAUGUCCGCUGCAGCUGAGAAUCCUAGGACAAUAAAGAUUAUAUUGACGUCCAAUGGUGAGUUGGGCUGAAAUCCAGGUUACUAAUCCUAUUAUUUAUUUAUUUAUUGAUAUUAUUAUUAUCUUUUUUUUAGGCUAACUUUCUCAGUUAACUAUGUUCUACAGUAGUUUAGUAAAUUUUCCACAGUUCUGACAUUUCAUCAAUUCAACUGGUUGUUGCCAAAAAGCCUUGUUCAUUACCUGACUGCAGCAAGCACUCUUUUACUGGGUGUAACCAUAGGAAACAGUCUCUUUUGAGCCUCUCUUUGUAAGUCCAGGAUGACCACCGUCAUUGAUUAAAGUUCACAUGUUAGCACACAUGCUCCCCCUUUUGUACUUUGUUUCAUCAGCAGCAGGGCAAAUAAGUUUCUGCCUCUUUGUCCAUCUUGUAGUGCUCCCCGUCUUGAUGUUAUGAGUCACAGUUUUUGGUGAGGGCUUCCAGGUUCUCUUUGUAUAGAAGUCAGAGCCAAACAUUCUUUGCAGCUGGUUGUGACAGGCCCACCCAGUAAAGUUCAUGCCUCCACAAUGCACAGCAAACGUUUUCCUUAAAUAUGUUGAUUGAGUUGAAAGGACAGAACUUUCUCUUUUACAAAUCAAAAUCAACGAAGGUUUCUAAUAUUUAGUCAACUUUAUUGACUCAAAGGUAAAUCUAGACUAUUUCCCAUGCACAAUUUUUCUGACUCGUCAAAUCGGUUCUACACAGGUUUUAAACUUUAGGCACAAUCUAUCCCAAAUGCAAGAUCCCUCCUUUCAUUUUUUAUUUAUCUAUUUUAUUUUGGGAAAAUAACUACCAGUUUUUAACUCAAAACAGCCUAGUACAGUUUCUAGCCAGGUUACAGGAAAUAAUACUUAGUUUAUCUGUUUUUUCAUUAUUCAGCAUCUCAAAAUCCAGCCAUUAACGUUAAUGGUUCUUAAAGUUGAGGCAAGACAAUUAUUGGAUUUUGUUUUAUAGCAAGAUUUAACAAAUAUUUUAUUUCCUUACUGAUUAUUUGUUAAUUUUAUGGUUUUCAUAAAGAUGAUCCUGAGAGGUUCAGAGCUGCUUUUCGCAGCACCCUGUGCUAUUUUUAGACUGCGGAACUCCUGUGUGUAAAAGUGGGUGGAGUCAGGUCCCCAGGCUGAAACUCCAGUCAUUCUCACUAGAUCUGUCCGAGAGGAAGGAUCUCCUGAAUACCCUAACCAGAAGCCUUAAGUCUCUCGAACUAAAUAACCGUCUAGUAAAAACAUGGACCGCACCCUGUUUCUCAAGCAGCUGCUCCCUCUAUUAAAAACUGAGUCAUUCAGAAGAUCCAGCGAAAGCAGCUCAUGCAAGAAGACACGCAUCCACUCAUUCACAUGGCACAGACGACAUUCUUUGUUUGUCACAGUCUUUUUUUUAAAGUAAGUCAGUUCGUCACUUAUUUAUUCUCUCUCUCUCUAUAUAUAUAUAAUAUUUUAAGCACAGAAUUUAUUUAACACUGCACUGGUUAUUUUCAGAAUUUAUUGCUUACUAUGCUUUUAAGCAGGACUUAUGUAACAUUAGAGCAAAUCCAAUUGCAAUUUUUUGAGAGCACUCUGAGGAAUAGUUUAUAUAUUUAUUUUCUGCAGAUCUGUUUUGAUUUUACUGUUUAGCAGCUUAUCUGACUUUAUAUAUAUGUAUAUCCAUAUAUUUCUGAAAUAAAGCUGUCAUAUACAACCUUA